rnacentral:rRNA from 1 species
UACGUAGGGGGGCAAGCGUUGUCCGGAAUCAUUGGGCGUAAAGCGCGCGUAGGCGGCCCGGUAAGUCCGCUGUGAAAGUCGGGGGGCUCAACCCUCGAAUGCCGGUGGAUACUGUCGGGCUAGAGUGCGGAAGAGGCGAGUGGAAUUCCUGGUGUAGCGGUGAAAUGCGCAGAUAUCAGGAGGAACACCAAUUGCGAAGGCAGCUCGCUGGGACGUGACUGACGCUGAGACGCGAAAGCGUGGGGAGCAAACAGG